GUAGGUGGCAAGCGUUGUCCGGAAUUAUUGGGGCGUAAAGCGCGCGCAGGCGGUUCUUUAAGUCUGAUGUGAAAGCCCACGGGCUCAACCGUGGAGGGUCAUUGGAAACUGGAGAACUUGAGUACAGAAGAGGAAAGCGGAAUUCCACGUGUAGCGGUGAAAUGCGUAGAGAUGUGGAGGAACACCAGUGGCGAAGGCGGCUUUCUGGUCUGUAACUGACGCUGAGGCGCGAAAGCGUGGGGAGCAAACAGGAUUAGAUACCCUGGUAGUCCACGCCGUAAACGAUGAGUGCUAAGUGUUAGGGGGUUUCCGCCCCUUAGUGCUGCAGCUAACGCAUUUAGCACUCCGCCUGGGGAGUACGGCCGCAAAGGCUG
rnacentral:rRNA from 1 species